AACGAACGCUGGCGGCAGGCUUAACACAUGCAAGUCGAACGCCCCGCAAGGGGAGUGGCAGACGGGUGAGUAACGCGUGGGAACAUACCCUUUCCUGCGGAAUAGCUCCGGGAAACUGGAAUUAAUACCGCAUACGCCCUACGGGGGAAAGAUUUAUCGGGGAAGGAUUGGCCCGCGUUGGAUUAGCUAGUUGGUGGGGUAAAGGCCUACCAAGGCGACGAUCCAUAGCUGGUCUGAGAGGAUGAUCAGCCACAUUGGGACUGAGACACGGCCCAAACUCCUACGGGAGGCAGCAGUGGGGAAUAUUGGACAAUGGGCGCAAGCCUGAUCCAGCCAUGCCGCGUGAGUGAUGAAGGCCUUAGGGUUGUAAAGCUCUUUCACCGGAGAAGAUAAUGACGGUAUCCGGAGAAGAAGCCCCGGCUAACUUCGUGCCAGCAGCCGCAGUAAGAC
rnacentral:rRNA from 1 species